rnacentral:rRNA from 1 species
CAGCGCCGCGGUAAUACGUAGGGUGCGAGCGUUAAUCGGAAUUACUGGGCGUAAAGCGUGCGCAGGCGGUUGUGUAAGACAGGUGUGAAAUCCCCGGGCUUAACCUGGGAACUGCGCUUGUGACUGCACAGCUAGAGUAUGGCAGAGGGGGGUGGAAUUCCACGUGUAGCAGUGAAAUGCGUAGAGAUGUGGUGGAACACCGAUGGCGAAGGCAGCCCCCUGGGCCAAUACUGACGCUCAUGCACGAAAGCGUGGGGAGCAAACAGGAUUAGAUACCCGGGUAGUCCCUGUCUCUUAUACA